CUACGUGCCAGCAGCCGCGGUAAUACAGAAGGUCCGGGCGUUAUCCGGAUUUAUUGGGUUUAAAGGGAGCGUAGGCCGGAGAUUAAGUGUGUUGUGAAAUGUAGACGCUCAACGUCUGACUUGCAGCGCAUACUGGUUUCCUUGAGUACGCACAACGUUGGCGGAAUUCGUCGUGUAGCGGUGAAAUGCUUAGAUAUGACGAAGAACUCCGAUUGCGAAGGCAGCUGACGGGAGCGCAACCGACGCUUAAGCUCGAAGGUGCGGGUAUCGAACAGGAUUAGAUACCCUGGUAGUCCGCACAGUAAACGAUGGAUGCCCGCUGUUGGUACCUGGUAUCAGCGGCUAAGCGAAAGCAUUAAGCAUCCCACCUGGGGAGUACGCCGGCAACGGUGAAACUCAAAGGAAUUGACGGGGCCCGCACAAGCGGAGGAACAUGUGGUUUAAUUCGAUGAUACGCGAGGAACCUUACCCGGGCU
rnacentral:rRNA from 1 species